AUUGGGAGUUGUUUAUGAAAUAACACAAUGUUAGAUUAAAAAAACAUUUAUUAAAAAUUCCUUUAGUUGGAGAUUCAAAAAUAAUGACUCAAAAUGUCUGGAUAGAAAAUUGUAGACAGUCAGAUAUAUCUCUGAAUAGAAACUGUCCAGCUCAAGAGCAUUUUCAUUUCAUUUGUACUAACGGGUGGCAUUCUACUGCCUCUGAAGGGCACUUGUUUCAACCAGCGUCUACAGGGAAAUAAGUGCACCACAUUGAGUUAUAAAAAUGUAAGUGAUCGCCGACAAAAACAGACGGGUUUCUGGAAACACAAAAAAAGGGGGCAUUUCAAAGGAUACCCCAGGCGCAGUCACAGAGCAUGAAGUGGUGGCGCUUAUCACCACCACUUCAUGCAACUGGAGUAGCAUGAACACAUCUAAACAAAUACCAGAACGGACAUUAAACCCAACAACCAUUUAAAUGACAAAUACACCACAACAGCGAUUGCAUUUUGAUAAACGGGUGGAUGGAGUCACUGUCAGGUCAACAUGCUGAGGCACUUCCCUGAGAACUCGGUAAUGCCACAGAUGCGCCAGGGUUCUCGGUUCUCAGGAACGCCGCGUCUAGUCGUUCUCAGCUUGGCGAUCAGGAACCGGACUGCACGGCGUGUCAGGAAUGAACCUUGACCUUUCCACAAUCAAAUCAUACUCAACGGACCGUUUUGAAUCGUGGAUACAGCAUUCGGUACAUGCAUUUUACCGUGGGCAGUGAACGCUAGACAUUCAAGAAGAUCAUCAAGACAGUAGAAACCCCAGCGGAGCCACCUUUUUCCUGUAGCGCAGCGAAAAUAUUUUAUGAAACCAUCACACCAUCUAGUUACUAGGAACGCGAGGAGAUGCUAUUACUUUCCUUUACAACAGUAGUGAAGUAUGUCAUAGAAAUUACCAGCACCCAGCACCUUUAUAUAAGUGUAUAUAUGUGUACAUAGUAGCACAAGCGAAGAGUUUAAAAGUAUGACGCCCAUCCAUGGAGGCAAAUAAAUGUGUAAAAUCCAUGUGUUAAAACUGGCUUAUAAUCCUUAGGGAACACUGCAGAAAAAUGCUUCUGCACAUUGCCCUUCUGGAGACAAAAAUGACUGCAACUUAUUGGCCAAGUUCAAACAGUACCUCCACGAUUCGCCGCCCCCCCACUCCCAUUUCGGCAUGUAUCAAAUAUAGCACAGAUCUGAAAAUCUAUUUCAACAUUUGAUUUCGAUCACUGGAUUCUAUUAAAAGGGUUUGUCUCUGCUGACUCCAUGUUGGUGAACACGAAGUAGAGGAACCCAGCCACAACCAGGAAGACCAGGAACUGGACCCAGAGGGGGAUCAGUCUCCCGGAGCUGGCUGGGGAUCCCUGCUUCACACCAGCGACGGCGGCAGGCCUCCCAACAGACGAGGGUUUGGAGUAAGAGGAGUACGAGGACAUGGACGGAGUAUUGUAGAUGUGAGGCCUGAAAAGAGGGGGAGAUUUGGUUUCAAGUUUGUGUACUGUAGAAUCAUUUGGAAAAUGUUCAUUCAAGCAUGGAAAACACACCAGAACACAAUGAAAUUUUCAGUUGUUUCCAUUGCUUGCUUUUUUUUUUU
ensembl:lncRNA